rnacentral:tRNA from 1 species
GUCCUGGUAGACAAAUUGGUCAAAGUCACCACCCUUUCACGGCGGGGUUUGAGGGUUCGAGUCCCUCUCAGGACGCCA